rnacentral:misc_RNA from 1 species
CUCUAUUGCCGAGCGCACAGUCAACAUUGCAGUCAUGUCACGAGUUUUGUCGUUGUGUGGGUAGAUCUCUCCUGAGCUGCUAUUCAGGAUGGAUUCAGACCCUGUGUUUCCCAAGUGUGUGGUGUGCAGCACCUCCUUCAGGUACAGAGGACCACAGCCGCACCUGCUUCCCUGUCUACAUCCUGUGUGUGAGGACUGUCUCAAGUCACCAGAAGUCACAACUCUGGACUGCUCUGUCUGCUUGAAGAGUCAUGAUAAAAAAUGUCGGGAGUUUCCCAAUUGACGAUGUUGUACUUGGUGACGUCCUCAACCAGACAAUGAAGCACAGACCGUCCGACUUCCAAUGUACCAACAAGGUGGAUGGAAACCAAGCAAUGUCUUGGUGUCAGGAAUGUGAGGAAUAUUUCUGCGAGCACUGUAAUUUAUCUCACUCAGAGGUGAAAACAACUAGGAAUCACGCAAUGAAGUGGAUUUCUGAUCUUCCAUGUACAUUGACAAGAUCAUAUUCCGACUGUGAGAAACACGGACAACGUUUGGACAUCUAUGAUAAAAACUGUGACUGUUUCAUCUGUUUGCAAUGCUUCUAUGAAGAUCAUGCCAGUAACAGUACCGACACAGCCGAUACGUUCUUGAGUCGUGAACAAGACGUCUUGAAGGUUUACAUAAAAUCUGUUUCAGAGAAGAAGGAAAAGAUCAUUUCAGCAAAAGAAACGGUUCUUGUACAAGCAAGAUGUAUUGACGAGAAGGCCGUUCCCCUCCGGGAUACAGUUCAACACACAUUUUCUGAGCUGAGAGAUGUGGUGAAUCAGCGAGAGAAGGAGGUGCUUGUGGAGCUAGAUCAGAUUUUAGACUCCAUGAAGAACAUUAAUGACAGUCGACGAAGAGUGCUGGCGUCAUCAGAGACAAGCUGCCAGACAGUCCUUGACUACAUCAACGAGAGUUUCCUCUACGCCUCACCUUCCCACCUCCACAAAGUGAAGAGUUCCAUCACACAGGCCUUUGAGUCUUGUAUAAAGGCUGACGUUCCAGCUGUUCACAAAUACGAACCGUGUGUCGUCUUCUCAGAGCAAGGUUUACCGGUUUUGAAAUCCUUAGUAUCAUCCUUUGGUGGUUUCAUGACUUCAGUUACCCAGACGGAAUCACCUAUGGAAGCAUCACUUAAAACAGGCCUUCAGAUGAAACUGGAAGCAGAUAUUGAUGAACUUCAGACACAGAACAGAGAGGCUCAGAGGCUAAUCAGUGCACUGGAAAAGGAAGCCUCUCAAAAUGAACAGAAGGUGAAGACUUUGCAGGAGGAUUUAUCCAGACUUCAGGGGAUCGUAAUUCAGUUGCAUCCCAUGGGCAACGACAAAGACACUUGGCUACAUGUGCUUGGUACAGUCAACAGAGCCCCACUUGUUGUUCUAUGUCCAAAGAUGAUGUUUGAUUCCGACAGAGUAAACCUGAACAGAACACACAUUAAUGACAAAGGCCUUCUCAUCAACACAAAACAUCCUCAAUGGAGAAGAGUGGGCACUAGUGGGAAGAUGUUGAAGAACUACUGCGGCACCUGCAGCAUCUCCCCACUGCCCUCUAGCGGCCUGGUGUACUGGGAGGUGGAGGCGGAUGUGGAACUGGACAAGCCUCUGGGUGAUCUAGAGCUUGUGUUGGAGGUCGGGGUGUGUGGAGAGGAUGUCAUGGACAGUAGUCAUUAUAUCGGCGGUCAGCCUAAUUCAUGCAGUCUGCACAUAUCAAAUGGUGAGAAUGAUGUGAUGAGGUCUAUAGCUAUUAAUGGAAAGAAUGCAGCAACAGCUAAAGUGUUUGAGAACAAGGCAGGGACAUCUGUGACAUUAAAGUACGGAGUUCUUGUUGAUACUGACAAGAUGGCGGUAUCCUUCCUGGACACCAACAAAAGAGAAGUGUUGGAAUCGGGGUGUAUUGUUGACAACGAGUCACAACGUGGUGCUGGAUACAACAAGAAUAUGUGGCCUGUAUUUGCGGUUUAUGAUAACUCAAUCAGAGUUGAAAUGAAACUCGUGAGUGGACCGGAUCUACAGAUGGAAGACUGGAAGAAGAAGCUUCUCGAAGACGCCAGCCAUAUGUGUGCUGUAGGGGAGCGAUACCGUGGCUACAAUCACUACUUCCGUGCUCAACGUUAACACUGGUAGACAUCACAAUCACAGGAAGUGCACCUGUUUUUUGGACAUUUGCCUAAAUGUUAAAUAUGUGCAGAGAUUAUACAUGACUGACUCAUGACGUUUUGUGCAUAAUUGGCAAAGAAAUCUUAUCUGCUGUUUUCGAGGAAAAUAGAACUUGCUACAGGGGAUUUGUUUGAAAGUAUAUUUAAUAAUCAAUUGAGUUGCUGUGGGUUUGGUUCAGGAUAUUAUUGUUUCUUUGUGAUUCGUUCUGUUAAUGAGGAUAGAAAUGUGAAUCUGUGCUGACUAUAAAUCUAUCUGACAUGUGAAUGCAUGAUCCUCAGCCCUCAAAAAGAAUUAAACAAAAUGAUAGAAAGAUAUAUAAUACGUUGGCUCGCAUAUGAUAAGUGUUAAUCGCAUGUUGAUCAUAUGAGUUGUGAUAAGUCACCUAAAGUCAAUAUCACAGCCUUAGAAUGCAUCUUGACCAAAACGUAUUGGUUUUGAAAUUAAUCGAAUGAAUAGUCAGUUGUAUAAUCAAACCAAGAUCCAGGUUGUAAUUGAUUCAAGAUAGUAACGGUUGCUAUCUCCAUGAAACCCUUUGUCCCUUGAUCCGUUUGACCAUUGAACACUUCUUGUAUCAUUUUGGCGUCGAUGGGGUAAUGAAACAAAUAUGAACAUGAAACAGACACCAAAAAUUUACAUUCGUGAGACAAGUCUGUUUUGAUGAGCCCAGGUUUUGUGUGACAGAUGUAGAACGUCGCUGGUUUAUUUGUUGAUUUACUUAUCUACUCUCUGAUAAUACAAAUGUAUAAGAGAGAAAAGGUGAGGAGAGAAGGUCGCAUAGACCUGGAGAGGAUUCCAGAAGAAGACAUUUUUAUAUAUCAGAGAUGAUAUAGCGGAAGAAGUCAAGGUUCGAAAUCUUCCUUCAAUCGGAAUACUUAUGUUCAACUUCUGAGUCAAGGCAGACGAUAUGAAUAGGAUUAGUUAUUCUAUUGUUAAUAAAAAAUGUUUGUUUGAUAUGGUUGAUAUUGUUGACGAUAGUUUUGUUAGAGCCGAUUGUUACCUUUGCUUUCGUUUCACUUUCACUUGACUGCCCAGGAAUCUUUUUGACAUUCUUUUUUUCAGUACUCACAAGGCCACGGGCCUAUAGCACAGUCCAUUAUAUAUACACAAUAUAAAACUUCAUGGAACAUAUACAUACUUACAUUUAACCAUACCCUGUGUAGUUAUUAAUUAAUUAAUUUAUUUAUUUAUUUUCAUUUAUCCAAUUAUUCCUGCAAGAAAAGGCACAAUAUAUAAAUACUGAUAAAUCCUUAAGUAUUUUUACAUUUGGGUUUGUUAACAACAGUGUAAAUUUAGUGGAGUUUGGGUAAUUAUCAUAAUAUGCUGGGAUAUAUUUUUCUCUAAAUGAUAAGUAUAAUGGACAAACAAGUAAAACGUGGUAUUCAUCCUCAAUCAAUUCUAAGUUACAUAGUUUGCAAAUUCUUUUAUCACGGUUGAUGUUUGUGUAACGGCCAGUUUUAACAAGGAGAUCAUGGGAUGAACAAAGGAUACGAGACAACGCUAUCCUAAUUUUUUUAACAGGUAUAUUGUAUUACUUAAGUAGUCUUCUGUACUGAAAUGAGUUUUGAAAAGUUUAUAGUAAAAGCACUUAUUUGAUGAAUCUUUUUGUUAUAGAUCAACGUUACGUUUUAAUUUAAUUUAUUGGAAAUUGAAGACGCCAUUAUUAUACUACGAAACCGUUGUUCCUGAUGUUGUAGGAUACGGCUUCUUUCUAAUAAGUUUAUAACUUAUGAAGCACGUGUAUCCCCAGUUAUUUUGCCUAUUUCUUCAUACUGAUGACAUGUGAAUCAUAUUCAUGCAAUAUAGCAGCAGCUCUAUAAACAUAGCUUGCUUGUAUUGUAGAUGUUGCAUUUUUCUAUUCGUACUUUUGUGUAAACAACCCCUUUUGCAGCGACACUUAAAAUAAGUUGUUUAACAAACUAUCAUUAAACUUUUUACACAGUUCACUAUUUGUUACGAGGGAGGAGUGCAAAGAAAGGAACAGCUUGGUGUACGUGAAGCAAAAUUUUAAUGAUAGUUUGUUAAACAACAUCUUUAUUUUUCGGACAUGAAUUCUGCCAAAAAUCACAGAGUUGGUCUGAUGUUUUGAUUAUGAUCAGUGUUUCACUGAGUAUUACAUGUGUAUUAGUUUUCGAGUUAGAUUGCAUUCAUCGGUCCGCUUUUGAGCCAAACGGACUAUAACAUAAUCCAACAUAAUUCACUUGAUUUCUGAAGAACUUAUUGCAAUUUGUGGAACCUAACCGUAAACACUGAUAAAAUCGAAGAUCCAUAUUUUCCGUGGUACUAAAAUUGAGAAAAGGAGGAAAUCUAUUUUGAGUAAUGUUUUUAUUUUUGUUUGUGUAUUGAUAUUGAUUGUGUUCAGAUCUGUUAAAUGUACGUUAACCCAUUUUGUGUAUAAGAUUUCACCCCAUCGCUUUAACACAACAGUAAAACAAUACUACUUUAUUGUCGUGAUACAUGUUAAACUGAUUGAAAAAGUUAAUAUACAGUUUCUUUGAGACAUAUUGUCAUUAAAGAUGGUACACCUUUACAUGUUUUAUGGUACACUUGCAGAUUACCAUUUCAUAUGUUGAUACAAUCGUGUUACGUUUCGAGAGAAAUUGUCAGUAAAAAGAAGAAACCAU